CCCCUAGUAACUGCGAGUGAAGCGGGAAAAGCUCAAAUUUAAAAUCUGGCGGUCUCUGGCCGUCCGAGUUGUAGUCUGGAGAAGUGCUUUCCGCGCUGGACCGUGUAUAAGUCUCUUGGAACAGAGCGUCAUAGAGGGUGAGAAUCCCGUCUUUGACACGGACUACCAGUGCUUUGUGAUGCGCUCUCAAAGAGUCGAGUUGUUUGGGAAUGCAGCUCAAAAUGGGUGGUGAAUUCCAUCUAAAGCUAAAUAUUGGCGAGAGACCGAUAGCGAACAAGUACCGUGAGGGAAAGAUGAAAAGCACUUUGGAAAGAGAGUUAAACAGUACGUGAAAUUGCUGAAAGGGAAACGCUUGAAGUCAGUCGCGUUGUCCGGGACUCAGCCUUGCUUUCGCUUGGUGCAUUUUCCGGAUGACGGGCCAGCAUCGAUUUUGACCGUCGGAAAAGGGCUAGGGUAAUGUGGCACCUUCGGGUGUGUUAUAGACUCUAGUCGCAUACGGCGGUUGGGAUCGAGGAACGCAGCGCGCCGCAAGGCAGGGGUUCGCCCACAUUCGCGCUUAGGAUGCUGGCGUAAUGGCUUUAAACGACCCGUCUUGAAACACGGACCAAGGAGUCUAACAUACCUGCGAGUGUUUGGGUGGAAAACCCGAGCGCGUAAUGAAAGUGAAAGUUGAGACCUCUGUCGUGGAGGGCAUCGACGCCCGGACCUGACGUUCUCUGACGGAUCCGCGGUAGAGCAUGUAUGUUGGGACCCGAAAGAUGGUGAACUAUGCCUGAAUAGGGUGAAGCCAGAGGAAACUCUGGUGGAGGCUCGUAGCGAUUCUGACGUGCAAAUCGAUCGUCAAAUUUGGGUAUAGGGGCGAAAGACUAAUCGAA
rnacentral:rRNA from 1 species